UGAAGUUUCAGAAGCCAUUUAGCCAAAACCUCCCCAAUUACAACAUCUCCAUGCAGACGGCUAGCAGAAAGCGAGCUCACUAGAACAGUUCUCAAGAACCUCUUUAUUUCCUAAAUUCUCUUUCAUAAGUUCCCACUUGUGGUCAGUUGCUACUAACUACAAACCAACCACAACUCGGUUCUUGGUAGCAGUAGCAUGAUUUUUCUUCUUAGGUUCAAUUCUCUGUUCUUCCAUCUGAUUAGCAUGAUUUGAGGGGCAAAUUUCAUCAGCCUUUCCAGCCUUCAUUUGAUCAACAUUUUCUGGGACUAAAUCUUUGCUUGAACCAGAAAGAAGUAGCACUCUCCUUUUCAGUUCCUUUCACAGAGCCUAAAUGUAUCAUAGAAACUGGUGGCUUUUUAUCUGUAUUCAAAUUUUCAUUAACAUUAUUCUUUUCGCCAUCCGGUUCCAAUGAUACCCUGUCUUCUCAGCCCGGAACCGAAAGAUGAAAAUGAGGCAGCAGCCAAAUCUGAAAGAUAACCAUUUAAUCUAUUGGGCCCCUCCCUCUUGGCCUCCACACGGAACUCACCUCACCUUUCUCUUGCAAUCUCCCCAAACCCAAUGGAUUUUAAACUCUGACCCCAUGGCCUCCAUGAAGAGAAAGAGGGAAACACAACUGAAGAUCCCUUUUAAUCAAACUGUAAGAGAACAUCUGUAUCUUUAGACUUGAUAUUCUGUCUUGCAUCAACUGGAUAAUAUUUACUGACAAUAUUGACUGCUACCUAGGUGUCUUAGUGGUCUUUUUUAUAACUGAAGGUCUUGCACCAAUUUUCUAGGAUUGAUGAGGUUACAUAUCGUAAAUCACUUUGACAGGACCACUUUAAACGGGGUUCACAAGCAAUGGGACAUUCUCUCCAUAGAACUUCAGCAUGCCAUCUGGUUACUUGUUCCGUUUCCACACACUCCUCGCAUGAUUGGCCCAGAUUCAUAAAAUAACCUCCAGUUAUGGAAUGUCAGCG
rnacentral:lncRNA from 1 species